GACGAACGCUGGCGGCGUGCUUAACACAUGCAAGUCGAACGGUAAGGCCCUUCGGGGUACACGAGUGGCGAACGGGUGAGUAACACGUGGGUGAUCUGCCCCGCACUUCGGGAUAAGCCUGGGAAACUGGGUCUAAUACCGGAUAGGACCACUGCCUGCAUGGGUGGUGGUGGAAAGCUUUUGCGGUGUGGGAUGGGCCCGCGGCCUAUCAGCUUGUUGGUGGGGUGAUGGCCUACCAAGGCGACGACGGGUAGCUGGCCUGAGAGGGUGACCGGCCACACUGGGACUGAGAUACGGGCCAGACUCCUACGGGAGGCAGCAGUGGGGAAUAUUGCACAAUGGGCGCAAGCCUGAUGCAGCGGCGCCGCGUGAGGGAUGACGGCCUUCGGGUUGUAAACCUCUUUCAGCACCGACGAAGCGCAAGUGACGGUAGGUGCAGAAGAAGGACCGGCCAACUACGUGCCAGCCGCCGCCGUAA
rnacentral:rRNA from 1 species